CAGUAGCCACGGUAAUACGGAGGGUGCAAGCGUUAAUCGGAAUUACUGGGCGUAAAGCGUGCGUAGGCGGUUCGUUAAGUCUGUUGUGAAAGCCCCGGGCUCAACCUGGGAAUGGCAAUGGAUACUGGCGAGCUAGAGUGUGUCAGGGGAUGGUGGAAUUCCCGGUGUAGCGGUGAAAUGCGUAGAGAUCGGGAGGAACAUCAGUGGCGAAGGCGGCCAUCUGGACAACACUGACGCUGAGGCACGAAGGCGUGGGGAGCAGACAGGAUUAGAUACCCGAGUAGUCCCUGUCUCUUAUACA
rnacentral:rRNA from 1 species